AACGAACGCUGGCGGCAUGCCUAACACAUGCAAGUCGAACGAGACCUUCGGGUCUAGUGGCGCACGGGUGCGUAACGCGUGGGAACCUGCCCUUAGGUUCGGAAUAACUCCCCGAAAGGGGUGCUAAUACCGGAUAAUGUCUUCGGACCAAAGAUUUUUCGCCUUUGGAUGGGCCCGCGUUGGAUUAGCUAGUUGGUAGGGUAAAAGCCUACCAAGGCGACGAUCCAUAGCUGGUCUGAGAGGAUGAUCAGCAACACUGGGACUGAGACACGGCCCAGACUCCUACGCGAGGCAGCAGUGGGUAAUAUUGGACCAUGGGCGAAAGCCUGAUCCAGCAAUGCCGGGUGAGUGAUGAAGGCCUUAGGGUUGUAAAGCUCUUUUACCCGGGAUGAUAAUGACAGUACCGGGAGAAUAAGCUCCGGCUAACUCCGUG
rnacentral:rRNA from 1 species